rnacentral:rRNA from 1 species
GCUUUAUAUUGAUACUAGCGUUAUUUAUGUGGAAGUAAUUAAAUAGCUUUAGUUACAGUAUUUUGUUGGGGUGACAGGAAGAUAUAAAAAACUCUUUUUAGAAUUUAAAUCAUUGAUGUAUGAAUUAUUGAUCCGUUAUUGACGAUUAUAAGACUAAGU